AGUGAACGCUGGCGGUAGGCCUAACACAUGCAAGUCGAACGGCGGCACAGUAAGAGCUUGCUCUUACGGGUGGCGAGUGGCGGACGGGUGAGGAAUACAUCGGAAUCUAGUUUUUCGGGGGGGAUAACGUAGGGAAACUUACGCUAAUACCGCAUACGACCUACGGGGGAAAGCAGGGGAUCUUCUGACCUUGCGCGAUUGAAUGAGCCGAUGUCGGAUUCGCUAGUUGGCGGGUUAAAGGCCCACGAAGGCGACGAUCCGUAGCUGGUCUGGGAGGAUGGUCAGCCACACUGGAACUGAGACACGGUCCAGACUCCUACGAGAGGCAGCAGUGUGGAAUAUUGGACAAUGGGCGCAAGCCUGAUCCAGCCAUACCGCGUGGGUGAAGAAGGCCUUCGGGUUGUAAAGCCCUUUUGUUGGGAAAGAAAAGCAGCAGGUUAAUACCCCGCUGUUCUGACGGUACCCAAAGAAUAAGCACCGGCUAACUUCGUG
rnacentral:rRNA from 1 species